UUCCCUGUUCCUGUUGCCUGUUGCCUGGCAUUGUGUGAUAGGCUUUACGCAUGCAAAUUUGUAUGCGAUUUGCCCGAGUUUUGUCCGUAAGAUAUGUUCAGUCUGUGCUUUUGCACGCAAGUGGCUAGCUCGUGUAUCAACGUAUAAUUUUGCGCGCAAAUAUCUAUCGACUCGCGUACAAAAAUGGCUCAACAACGCAAGCAAAAUUCCAUCCAAGUGCGUCGUCGUAAUGCCAGAUGUUUCCGCGCAAAAUGUUUUCUGGGAAGUCACUGAAACACAAUCGGUUCUACUAAAAGUAAAACCGCGUGGAUAAUUACAAUGCUCCAUACAAGACAUUUUAUUUGCGAGUGUGAUUUAAUAAAAGAUCGAAGAAAUGAAUCGCGAACUUGUCACUCUCCUGUUGCAAAAUAUAUUUUCAGGAAACUUUAAAGAGUAAGUAGUGACAAUACAGAGUAAAUAAAUGUAAUACAUUCUUAAUUAUCAGACGAAUCACCAGUUUAACAUUAAUCGAUAGUCAAAUCUGUCAAAACAGAUUUUGUAAAACGUCUUUAACUAUAAAUAAUACUUUACGAGUAGAACGCCAGCGGAAAUGUAACUGCUAACAGAAUAUACGAUAGGAGAUUGAUUACAGAACCAAGAACACACACACAUACACACACACAAAUACACAUGCGUUUUCCGCAGCUAAAGAGUUACGAAAUUAAGAUAUCGUGAUAAAUAAAUAUGUACUGUUUGCUUCUCUGAGAAAUGUGAAAGAAAGUCUUAGGAUUCCUUCUAUGGUUUUCAAUUGAUACUGUUGAUACUUCCGGCCAUCUUUACAUAAGCCUCGCUUCUUUUCAGUAGAUACAUAUCUCGGAUUUAUGUUGACAAAACGACGUUAUUAUUUUUUAUGCGACGUAAAAUUAUGACAUUAAAAAUUGUGUUCAUGUCGGAAUGAGAAAUAGAAGAUUUUCAUCGCUUAUCCACGAAUGUGUGUUACUCGGUGAUGCACAAAUUUGCGACUUAAGCAAAUUUGUGUUGGGGUAGUACAAUGCAAUGGCAGUGAAGCGAAACGAGACGAAUAUUUCGUGCUUUACUUAUGAAACUGGAAAAUACUUUGAUUUCGAUCUGUACAUAGAAUAUCUGUUAGCGUGUGUACAUCGAAAUUGUUUGGUUUCACCGAUAUACAUAUAAUGUUCCAUCCAAGCAAAUCGAUCAGGAGAGAAGGAGUUAGGACAAUAUCGCGCAAUCGCGUACAAGUAUCGAACAAUGCGGUAGUAACAUAUGCGAGAUACAUGAGCCAAUGCAGAUUCCGUCAAGAGGUAAAACGAUAUAGAUUACAGAAAUUAAUAGGCACAGGUUCGUAACGUAUAGAAAGUUUUCCAUUUAAUUUUCAACAAGCAGACGAGACUAAUAUAAUUACAAAAUACGAGUGCGAACAAUAAAAGCGCAAGAAAGUACUGGAUUAAAGUAUAGUUUACACACGUGCAGCUUCUAUUGGCCAUCUAGUCAGACAAAUCUGUCGAAGAUAGAUUUUGUUUUAAUGCCCGCUAUAAAUUUUGUCGAUACUCAGCAGAAAUGUAACAGAAUCUAUUAGCAGAAUUGAUAGCAAACUCCGAUAAAAAUUUUCAUCAGGGUCUGCUGAUAAACUGCUAGCACAGUGCUAAUAUUUUAUUUACCGAGUAGUUUUAAGUAUCAGCAUACACAAUACUCACGUAUUGUACCAUCGAGAGCAAAGAUACUGUCCUGUUCCGAUGUAAUAAGAUUAAACUGUGCCGAGCUUCCUGUUCGAUGAUCGAUUAACCGGUCAAUUACCAAAAGAAAUUCGGUAAAAGCGCAGUUUUACUUUCUGCACCUGAAUCGAAACAGCAUUUUGCUCGCCACUGUAUUACUGCGCACAAUUAAAGUUAUCGGAAUUAUGUGGAAUUCUUAAUAAUUUUACAAUACGUUUUUAGUGUGAUUUACAUAUUCGCAUACAAAUAAACGUACAUACGUCCACGCAUAUACAAGAUAUAAAUAGAAUAUUUUUCCAAAGUUUCGAUUAAUUGGAAAGUUUGGAAAUGCGCUUAGUUGUCGUUUUCAGGAACAUAGAAAGCAUUUCAUGUUUCAUCUUAUUGUUUAUACAAUAUUGAGAAUCUUUUCUUCGCCAGCGAAUAGUCAAUACAACGGUAAUGGAAACUUAUUCGACGUAUCUGGCAAUAUUUUCUUUAAGAAUAAAGCACAACGUUUCGACCGAGAAUUCCGGUCCUUUUCAAGUAAAAAGUCAGACAAGUGUCAACCAAGUCGGAAUCUGAAUGUUGUGUUUUAUUCUUAAAUAAAGUAUUGCCAGAUACGUCGAAUAAUUUUCCAUUAUCUUUGUAUUAAUUGUUUAUACGUUGUCUUUCGUUUAAUCGUUUGGAGCACAAGUUGUGGUAGAAGAAUCUCUUUUACAGUUAGUUAUUUGUCAAAAUAUUGUACACACACACUCGCGCACACACAUAACAUAUACACACAUACAUGCAUACUUGUUUUAUUUUAAGUGUAAGAGAAACAUGAUGAAAACACCUGCGUGGUGCUCUGUAAACUAUACUUUUACCCCCUAAAAAAGAUUCCGUUUAUUUACAAGAUAUUAAUCCUUCGUCUGAGCUCGUCGAUCUACGACGUCCGAGCCAUAGUAACACAUGGACACGUGUCCUCGUAACAGUAUUCAGAAUUUAUUAAGAAAUAAAAUAUUUAAUAAAUACAUUUUUAUGAAAGUGACUACGACAUCGUCAAUUGUACUUAUUUCAGGCGAUAUUUCGGGCAGUACUUUAAGGCGAGGAAAAUAGCGUCAAACGCGAACAGACCCACGUGUCUACUAAAAAGGUACCGGGAGAACACGUUCAGUCGAAGGAUUAAUAAUAGAAGUUGUUGGAAAGUACUUGAUAAUAGAUUUUAAUUCGAACAUAUAUAAAAGCAGUCACAUACUUUAAUUGUACUAACAUUGUUCAUGUACAUCAUGCAUUGACAUGUAUUUUUUUAUAAAGCCAGAUACGAAUAAAUUCAAGCUUUUACGA